rnacentral:rRNA from 1 species
GCGCGCCUACGGGGCGCAGCAGUGGGGAGUAUUGCACAAUGGGGGAAACCCUGAUGCAGCGACGCCGCGUGAGCGAAGAAGUAUUUCGGUAUGUAAAGCUCUAUCAGCAGAGAAGAAAAAUGACGGUACCUGAGUAAGAAGCACCGGCUAAAUACGUGCCAGCAGCCGCGGUAAUACGUAUGGUGCAAGCGUUAUCCGGAUUUACUGGGUGUAAAGGGAGCGCAGGCGGUGCGGCCGGUCUGAUGUGAAAGGCCGGG